CGCUACUACUGCGUCCGCCGUCGUACGGGAACGACGCGUGCAUGUUCGUCUGAAAUCAGAAACGAUGUUUCAAUCAAGGUAACGGAAUUACUAUCCUGUAUAUGCCUCAACAUUCACGCUGGUUACUCUCGCCAAUCUCGAAAGGAGGAGCGGCUGAUGACGAUGACUCGUCGAAACAACGUACGACACGAGGAACGAUAAGCGGAUACGAUGGGACCAAGCAUGAGUCUUCUAGGAAAUCGAGAACAAGGCGGAUAUAUGCUCGGAAUCUUAAUCACGUCCGCUAGAGGGGGAGAAAAACUGGCGAUUUUAUCCAGACUGCGAGUCGCUCAGUGUAACAAAUACGGUUAUAUCACGAGCCCUUGCCAUUAUAUUGCUCUACAUCUUUCCUACGUGAGCGUCGCAACGUAGAAGAAAUCAUCGCGAGCGAGUUUUUCCGAUUUCUUUGGCUGGACUGCCCCCUUCCUUUCACCCCGUUGUAAUCCUUCGUCCUCCGUCACGAUCAUUUGGAUUGACGUGCGACAUACAUGCGAUAAAGGAGGGAAGGAAAAAAAGCUCACACAAACGGUACUGAAUUCCUCGAUCGACGAUCAAUAUUUCUCGUGUCGCGCCAUUUAGGAUGUAUUUUAAGUCCAUCGCACAUUCCGUGCAUUCUGUCACUCGAUGUGUAAUGUAUGUCCUAAUUACGAUCAGCUGAUUUAAGGAACCUCGGUAUGCGCGUAGAAAAUAUUGACAUACUUACAUAUAGAAACAAUGUUUUUGCUAAGGUACCUAAAAAUUUAGUUCGAUAUUAAUAUCUGAAAAUAAUGCUAUCUAUUCAAACUGUUUAAAAGUAAAAUGUUCACCGACAACGAGACAAUAAAAUUAUUGUACACAGGCGAGCAGUGUCGGCUCAUAUUGGCAUUAUUCGAUAUAUAUUUCAGAUUUAUUUCUUCCGAGCCUAAAUUCCUGUGUUUAAAAAUGAUUUUGUUGCACCAUCAAAAUAAUUAUAUAGGACGCCUUAAGCUUGACGAGCAAUAUUGCACAAUGUUUUGGCAUUCUAGGAAUCACUUAAGCGCCCUGCAUAAUUAUUUUGAUGGUCUGACAAAAUUACUUUCAGAUCUGUAUCUGUAGGUAAAUUUUUAUACAUGCACUUUAGCAAAAGUGUUCUUUCUGCGUAAUUGCAGGAUUUCACUGUAAUUACAAAAGCGGUCAUUAUUUGACAGUUAUCGUCACGAAAACUUUAGCUUCUCUUUUUUCGCGAGAUUAGCAGAUCUCGCCUAAUUGAAAAUUGAUGUCCGGAACGCGCUGCAUUCGCGUGGCUCGAAUCAGCUGGAUUAUAAUUCGGAGAAGCGGGACACAUCGGCGCAAUCACUGCGCUUGCUUUUUAAGCGCUGACCGCACGUCAGGCCGAAUGUCAAUUUUACCAACCAGCGAGGGGGAAGAAGGUGGCCGUCGCGCGUAUAGGUCUGCCGUUUUCACGAGAUCGAGGCUACUCGAUCGAUUCAUCAUUCGUACUAACGUACGGGGAAUGUUGCGUGUGCGGAUUAGCAAAUAUGCCUAAUGAGCUCGAUAUGAUCGAUAGCGUCGCUAUUUUGCGUUCGCGCGAUGAGAAACCGUUCGGCAGAUGCGAGAGAGCAUUAAGGUCAUGACUGUCCGAAUCCGGAGUCGUGUGAUUAGGAGGUCGAAAAUUAUAUGUUUUAUGUCGCGUCUGAGCACCGGCGGACUCCAUCCAGGAAACUUUCACGGGAACAAACAAAAAAAGGCGCGCGGCGCUAAUUAACGUGCUCGGAACCGCUUUCUGGGCUUAUAUUGACGAGUUCGCGAUAGUUAUACAUUGCCGCGCCGGCUAAUGAGAUGAAAUGUGAUCGCCUUUCUCUCGUUAAACGCUCCGGUAAAAUAAAAUCACGUAUCGCCGUCGCGGUAACGUCGAUACUGAUAAAUGACGGCGUAUUGGAUCGAACCACAACGGGACGGACAACGGCGAUAAUAUGCUCGCCUGCAUUCUUGUACGGCGAUAUAUAUCUCUCUCUCUUAUUACAUAAUUCCUUCGCCUUGCGGGGCAACGGGGAUACAGUUAUAAAUGUAUAUUAUUUAUGUCCACGAAUGUAGGCGAGAAGCGCAUUUCGAACAUUUGGAAUUGUAAGGAUAUUUGUACAUGUUUGCCCCGAAGAAGGCAGAAUUUAAACAAAUGUACAGAUGUAAGAAUAUAAUUACAGGCAUGCUAAAAAAGAUCAUAUAAAAAUCAAAUACUUUUUUUUUGCUAUAUUAUUCGUACAUAAACACAUGAUAAUAUAGUAGAUUAUAAAAAUAAAUGAGAAAUAUUUUUUUGUUAUAAAAAAAUUUGACUGGUCAUAAUUGUCCUUUCAAAUCAACACAAUAAAAAGCGAUGACUCGAUGAGAAAGAGACGCGUUAUAAUGAUCACAAGAACAAUUUUUAUCAUACAUAUAUAAAAACUCUAAAGUCGUUUUAUUCUUGCAAUAUGAAAGGUUGAACCUUAUUUUUAAAUCAUUCAAUUACGUUAAAAUGUAAAACAAGAUUUUACCGUUCUUUCUUCGCCGAUAAUUGGUUUUUAUAUCUACAUCUAUUUUUAUACAAAGCUAGUAAAUUAAAGAACAAAGUAGGAUCAAAAAAUUUAAGACACUUUACUUAUAUCUUGUGAUUAUUUUAUCGUGUUUAAGAUAACUGUUCCAAAUCUUAUGUAAGAUAUACAUGACAAUUAUAUAAUAAAUAGGGAGGCAAUAUUUAUGCAGUAGUAAUCAAAAUAUUGUCUGGUAGUAGGUUUAUAACUCACAUUGUUAUUUCUUUUAUUAUAUUUUAAUAAUCAAUCAAUUACAAGCUUGUCGCUUUUACUUUAUUAUAUAUUAAGGUUUUUACUUAAAUAUUGAGAAAAAUAAAUAUUACAUAUUUAAAAAACUCCAAAACAACCAUAUCAGCUGUCAUUAUGUACUAAGUAAUUGAGACAGUUACCCUAUAACUACUUUGAAGGUAGAGUGUAAAACUCGUUCACGUGUAUUACGUACUUAGAACAACGUAAAUUUAUUCUAUACAGUUCUAAUCUGACCCCGUUUUGUUCACGCCGUUGAUUAAACCGUUCUUAAUUCUUUCUAGCAGCAAAGGCGCAACAAUACUGCCGAUUUCUUGAAUCCAAACCCCUUUAGCUGAAAGACUGUCACAAACGCUAUUCUCUCGAGCAUAAAUGCUAAAGGGCGCUAAAGGGAUCCCUAAAGUUGCAUACAAUGAAACACAAGAGGAUAGGGGGAUACGACGGAGCGGCACGUUCUCAAGGAUAAAGCUAUCGGUCGAUCCACUCGGUUGAUUAUUGGCAUUGUGAUCGCUUCCAGAAACGCGCUCGUUUCGUUCAUAUUGCGCUAAGAAUAAGACGAAAAGAGACUGGAAAGAUUAUUAAUUUUUAUGAAUCUUCGACGAUAUGAUUCUCGCAAAACCCUAAUAUGUUCUCUUUUAUAUUAAUUCCAAUUACUGUAAAAGUUACAAUUAAAUCUCCAGGCUAUUGGCAGACAUAUAUAUUUUAAAUAUGUAAUAGAAGAAUUUGUAUUGGGAUUUUAUUGCAUUAGUGUAUAAAACAUUUUAUUAUAUAUUUAUAAAAUAUUUAUUAUAUUAUUAGUCAUGGAAUAUUUUUAUAAAAAUAUUUCCACACGAAUUUUAUAUCUGCGUGACAAAUACAAACCGAAUUUAUCAGCGUCGUUGACUUUGGAUUUGAGGAUUUUAUGCGCAUAUAAAAUCAUCUGCGAUUUGCUAAUAACGCAAGACGCGGGUUUGUUCACCCUUUAGGGAUACCUUUGGCUUAUCAUCUUAGGCAUCGCACUGCUUAGCAUAUUUGCUUCAAAGCAAACGUCCCUGGCAUCCUCCCCGAGGGAAUGCCAAAGGUCAGCCCAAAAUUUAAUAAGUAAAUUACUUAACAGGGCGCAACGAACGAGGCAUCGUACAAGGGGAAGUUUAUUUCGCAGAAAUAUUGCGGAAUUUUGCGAAAUUGUCGAAUCUGGGCAUAAACAUGUAAAGUACAUAGCGGUCUUUAGUUAUACGACAAAUUGAUUGAGAAGUUAAUAUUGAUUAUUUUAAGCGUCAGCUUGAAAUGAAUCAUUAUAAGUGAAUCAUUAUAAAGGAUAUUAUUACAGCAAACUAAUUUUUAAAUUUACAAAAUUAUCUAAUAGAUAUUGUUCUUUUAUAAAUCUAUCUAAUUACUUAGCGCGUGUUCAUGUCGCAAAACAUUAAUGCAUCGAAUAGGAGUUUACCGUAAAAAAAGGUAGAAUUAAACUUUGCGAUAAGAAAAAUGCAAAAAAAAAAAAAGAGAAAAUGUUAAUAGUACAAAUGCGAAUUAGAUAUAAAUAGCGGCGAUUGCAUUGCUAUUUAUAUCUAAUUAGUGCUCAUUAAUCGCGCAAUCUAAUCCACGGAUCUGAUCGAUGAUCCUAAUGGAACUGGUUGUUACGCGGCGCGAGUCACAUCGGAACGACACGUAUCUCGAUGCGCGUCGGUGGUGAUGUUGUACAUCGGUGCCGAUUGCGCGGAAAUUUCGCUCGCUCGGAUUGUCGCUCGCGCGGGUUCUUCCUCGCGUCGCCGAUCUAGUUAGCACGUCUGUCUAGUUAACGACGCGCGGAGACACAAGCCGAAGACGCGACCGGGACGGGACGCGCUCAACACUCGAGAGAACGCCCAAGUUUCCCUAACUAUGACGAACUAUGCAAAGGCGCCGUAUGGCUGUGUAGUUCCGCAGGCUUGGGGCACCAAGACUUUGCGUCUGGCCCGAAUAACCCGAGUGUCUUCUUGCCCCCGAGCGCAUCCGAAAGUCACGUCUUACGACGACGGGCACGGAGCGAUCUCGGUGGAUCCUCGCAUUCCCCAUCGUUAAAGACCCAGCGCUGGUUUUCCCCGCCACGAUAAACCGCCCUGUGCUACUCAUUGUCGUCUAUCCGUCGCGAAUGUCGCGUAGUUUUGUCGUUUCCACAACCGCUGAGCUCUCGCUGAGCUCUGCGUGAGAGAAACACUUAUCGAGAUAUCCCGCCGGUUAAAUUAAAAAUAACAGCCUUUUUUUAUAACGCUUGCGUGUAAUCGCAUAAAAGCUCUCUGACGCGACUUAUUAAAUAUUGCAUAAACUGAUAAAAAAUUCCAUGGCAAUCAUUGACGUUUGCAACGAUUUUUAAUUUAAAUAUCGUUCUUUUUAUAGAUUUAAAUAUAUUACAAAUAUUUAAAUAAUUGGAUAUUUAAAAUUUUUUCUGUCAAGAUUUACUAAUGUUAUUAUUGAGUAUAAGUUACAUUAACAAUAAUAUUAUUAUUUAUAAUAAUCAUUAUUUAGAGGUUCAUUUAUGCAAAUAUUUUUCUGCACUUUAAAAUAUAUUUUGUUAUCGAAUUUAUAAUCAGCAGAAAUGUAAUACACUUUAAAUAUUAAUGUCAUGGGACGACUGUUUGGAUACGUUAAUUAAUUAACAAUUAAAUUCAUUCGCAGUUAAGUAAUUAAUUAAUUACGUACUCUGUUAAAAAGUAUUACGCUAAUAAGUUUAUGAACAAAUAGGUAUUAACUCUAGAUUCUCAAUUCAUGCAAUCGUAACAUCGUCAACGUUUAAUAAUACACGUGCAGUAAUUGUAUUGUUUGUGAUAUAAAAGGCCUUUUAUGUUUUUUUUCUUGGUCUUUAAAGUUGUUGAUAUUAUACAUAUCUUUUCACCGCGUAAUGAUAGCAGAUUUUUUCACUUUUUUGUAACAUGGCUAGCGACCCUCGUUCAAGCUGAUUAAUUAUUAUUGACUUCAUGCAUUAAAGAAUUAUGGUAAAUGUAAAUGACCAUUAAGAAACUCGCGUAGCUUAUUUACACCUGUUUGAGAUAUGCACAUUUUUUUGUCGGUUGUUAAGCAAGCUUUUCUUAAUAUCCUAGCGCGACUCAAUUUCUCAGAACUAAAACUUGUGCGAGUAACAAUAUAUGCUUGCGUUAACUUCCGUUUAAAGAGAAGAGAGAAGCAACCACUAUGUAAACAAAGCAAAAGUUCGUUAUUCAGUAACCUAAUUCAAUAUUGUAGGAAAUCGGGAGUAUAGCGUUCUGAGAUUUCAUUAAAAUCGAAGAUACCCACCCUACCUACAGGAAUGCCCGUGGGCUAGAAAGAAAUAGCCUCGAAGGGGUGCGAUGUUUGGAAUAAUCAAUAACGCGCAUUUGAUCGUGAGAGGGUAGAACGUUUUCACAGCCACCCUUGGAUGGCAAGCAAGUUACACAUAUGACUGAAAUACUUUUUAUAUUCUAAAGUAUAUCAAGUACACGGGAAGAAUGAUUUUGUUAUAUCUAUAAAUAUGUCUAGAUUCCAAAAAAAUAAA
rnacentral:lncRNA from 1 species